UCCCCUCCGCUACCGCCUGAGCUGUUGGGCAAAGGAUUCAGCUAGAUGCUUUCUGGGAGUCGUAGUCGGGGAGCGCCUCCGUGUGUGCAAGUGCCGCACCAUCAGACUUUUGUACUUUUGCGCGGUGGAUGGGUUUGAGCGUGGUUCCAUGGUAACCAGGGGACAAGACUGGUGGUAUCCUAGGUAACGACCGGACUACCUGAUUUAGGAAAGGCAGUUCGAUUCUGUGGUGAGAGCAUGGGGAGGGAACAGGGACACAAAUACCAGAGAUAGCUAUGGAGGAAGGCAGAGAUACCCGCACACAGAGGAGGAGGAGAGCUGCCCGAAAAUUGUGAGGGCGAAGACUCGAUGCGAAGAGAGACAGCGAAUAUCAGUGAACGCACACAGAGGGAAACUCUUGAAGCAAGAAGGUAAACAACUCAAAAUACCUUCAAGAAGUCCCUUAAACUGACCAGAUUAAUUGGGUCCUUCUCCAUCAGAGUAAACAAUAAAAGCUAAGAGUUCCUCUCAGAAGAAGGAAGCUGGGCUUUAAAGAAAACUCUCAGACAAACUGAGUUUCAAAGAAGGCUCUGAGACUGGACCAGCUGGAAGAAGUCUGGACCAGCAAGACACAGGAAAGUACACUCUCCACCAUGUUGAACUACCUUCAGGCUGUGCAGUGUGUUCCAGGUUCCCAGCUUUGUGAGCAGUCAUCCAUGCUGGAAUGGGCUUUGGUGACACAGCUGUCUUUGAGUAAUUUCUGAUCCUGUAAAGUUACACCUCACCCAUAUUCUUGUAAGUAAACCCCAAUAAAACUCAUGGUUCACCAAGCUGAA